rnacentral:rRNA from 1 species
UACGUAGGGUGCAAGCGUUGUCCGGAAUUAUUGGGCGUAAAGAGCUCGUAGGCGGUCUGUCGCGUCUGCUGUGAAAACCUGGGGCUCAACCCCGGGCCUGCAGUGGGUACGGGCAGACUAGAGUGCGGUAGGGGAGACUGGAAUUCCUGGUGUAGCGGUGAAAUGCGCAGAUAUCAGGAGGAACACCGGUGGCGAAGGCGGGUCUCUGGGCCGUAACUGACGCUGAGGAGCGAAAGCAUGGGUAGCGAACAGG